rnacentral:rRNA from 1 species
AUUGAACGCUGGCGGCAGGCCUAACACAUGCAAGUCGAGCGGAUGAGGAAAGCUUGCUUUUCGAUUCAGCGGCGGACGGGUGAGUAAUGCCUAGGAAUCUGCCUGUUAGUGGGGGAUAACUCGGGGAAACUCGGGCUAAUACCGCAUACGUCCUACGGGAGAAAGUGGGGGAUCUUCGGACCUCACGCUAACAGAUGAGCCUAGGUCGGAUUAGCUAGUAGGUGAGGUAAUGGCUCACCUAGGCGACGAUCCGUAACUGGUCUGAGAGGAUGAUCAGUGACACUGGAACUGAGACACGGUCCAGACUCCUACGGGAGGCGGCAGUGGGGAAUAUUGGACAAUGGGCGAAAGCCUGUUCCAGCCAUGCCGCGUGUGUGAAGAAGGUCUUCGGAUUGUAAAGCACUUUAAGUUGGGAGGAAGGGUAUUCACCUAAUACGUGGGUACUUUGACGUUACCAACAGAAUAAGCACCGGCUAACUCUGUGCCAGCCGCCGCGGUAACAC